ACGGUCUGCGGAACGGCCUAUUGGGUUCUCUGGCUGCCUUCCCUCCUCCUGGGUUCGCCCUACCAACGCCCUACCAACGCGCACUCGAACUCGCCUGUUUUUCUGUGUUCAGUCUUUACAAGUCGUUUGCAAUUAACAGAUGAAGAAGAAACCCAUGGAGAGGUUAUGUACAAAUCUUUUUCAAGGCAUGUAAGUGCUAGGAAAACAAAACUGGAUAAUACUCAACCCUCUUCCAUGAAGAACACAAUCUAAACAUGGGAUUAUGAGCCAAGAGAGAAAUAACGGAAGGCAGAGAAAUGACUGAGCUGACAGCUUGUGCCCAGGAAGCUCGAAGGAUGCCAGAACCUUGAUUUGCACACUUCAGUGAAGGUCUGAUCUGUUUAGCAGAACUUGAUUUUGUCAAUGCAAGGUUGAUCAGUUUCUGUGGGACAGACUUGUGCCUGUCUAAGCCAGUUAUAUCGAUUUAUUGGUUAUUGUAUAUUUACACUGACUGCAGUAUUCUUGUUCAAUAUUGUAGAUGAGUGCUCCCUGAUAGAAAUAUAAUACUGUCCAUCAGUGUGAGCCACAGAAGUAAUUUAAAAUUUUUUAGUAGCCACAU